AUUGAACGCUGGCGGCAGGCCUAACACAUGCAAGUCGAACGAGUGGCGGACGGGAGAGAUAUGUCUGGGACACUGCCCUAUGGAGGGGGAUCACCUCUGGAAGCGGGCGCUUAUACCGUAUCCUCUGGGAUGCGCCCAGAUGGGAUUAGCUAGUGGGUGGGGUAAUGGCUCACCUAGGCGACGCUCCCUAGCUGGUCUGAGAGGAUGACCAGCCACACUGGAACGGAGACACGGUCCAGACUCCGACGGGAGGCAGCAGUGGGGAAUAGUGCACAAUGGGCGCAAGCCUGAUGCAGCCAUGCCGCGGGUGUGAAGAAGGCCUUCGGGUUGUAAAGCACUUUCAGCGGGGAGGCGUUACCCGCAGAAGAAGCACCGGCUAACUCCGUGCCAGCAGCCGCGGUAAUUC
rnacentral:rRNA from 1 species